AGCACAGCUUCAGGUUCUGGCUAGUCUCGUAGACAAAAAACCAUGGAGCAAGUGCUAAGAGUCAAAUCUUCCUUUGCAACCCACAGCUGAUCUGUAUUAGUUGUGUUACUUAUAGGAAGAGACAUG